CCGAUAACUAAUUUCAUCCGAAUCCCAAAACGAAUUAACUUUCGGACCCGAAUCCCGAAAAACGUAAUAACGGAAAAUCCGAAUUAAAACGAAACUAACUUUAUACCAGUACACAUGUCU